UCUGAUCACGGCGACCCGGAUCAGUCAGCGUUUCUUAGACGGCCUGUGAAGUGGAUAUAAACACGCUGCUCCCAAGCCCUUAGGAGUCCUGCCCGGAGCCUCGUGAGUCAGUCCAGGGUUUUUAAAGAUGAAUGGCUGUGAGCCGACUUCUCAGGAAGAUUAGCCACGGGUCGUGGCUGUGCUUGCCAGGGCCGGCCGGUGCAGGGCCCGGUCACGUGGGCCCGGAAGCCGGCAGACAGCCUGACACGGCUCAGCUGGGAGGGCCACAGGCUGCCAUCUUUCCGCGCGCUGGGGACGCUUCCCCAUCUGGUCGUUUCUUUUUGUCGUUGAGUAAAGCGCACACCAUGUCAACAGGGCCCUUUUAUAUUUAGAUUUUUAAAGCCGGAGAAACUUCUUUAUUGUGAAAUAUCAGCAUACCUAGAAGAAUGUGCCAAGAGCCAAAAAAGCAGAGCUCCGCGGAACGUCACAAAGUAAGAGAAAAAUGCUCACACUCUCUGGCUGGGCAGUCCCCUUCCUGGAACCUGUCCUGCAGAAAUGCUGCCCAGAGCGCUUCAACCUGGAUGGACCAGAAUGUCCGUCCCUGCUGACCGUAAGCACACAGCAUCGGACGCCGUCUAAACGUCGUGGGCAAGAGAAGAAUGCACAUGCGUUCCAUAGAAUAUUCCGCAGCCAUUACAGAUCUGAGGGAGACGCGCAUCACACAGAUCUGACCGGGAAAGGCAGCCGCGGGAUGUGUUUCAUGCCCACAACCUGGGAGGCGACACGUCGGCCGCGUUCACUUUACCUUCGGAAAGUAGGGUUGGCGGGUGGGGGACCCCCACUGCUUCCUCUGUGCGGCCUGUGUUGGUAACUUGCUGGUAAGCCUGCAGUUGCUUUUGUAAUUAAAAUAAUAAUAAUAAUA